UACGUAGGGUGCAAGCGUUUAAUCGGAAUUACUGGGCGUAAAGCGUGCGCAGGCGGCUUUGCAAGACAGAUGUGAAAUCCCCGGGCUUAACCUGGGAACUGCAUUUGUGACUGCAUGGCUGGAGUGCGGCAGAGGGGGAUGGAAUUCCGCGUGUAGCAGUGAAAUGCGUAGAUAUGCGGAGGAACACCGAUGGCGAAGGCAAUCCCCUGGGCCUGCACUGACGCUCAUGCACGAAAGCGUGGGAGCAAACAGG
rnacentral:rRNA from 1 species